rnacentral:rRNA from 1 species
UGGGGAAUAUUGGACAAUGGGCGAAAGCCUGAUCCAGCCAUGCUGCGUGUGUGAAGAAGGUCUUCGGAUUGUAAAGCACUUUAAGUUGGGAGGAAGGGCAUUAACCUAAUACGUUAGUGUUUUGACGUUACCGACAGAAUAAGCACCGGCUAACUCUGUGCCAGCAGCCGCGGUAAUACAGAGGGUGCAAGCGUUAAUCGGAAUUACUGGGCGUAAAGCGCGCGUAGGUGGUUUGUUAAGUUGGAUGUGAAAUCCCCGGGCUCAACCUGGGAACUGCAUUCAAAACUGACUGACUAGAGUAUGGUAGAGGGUGGUGGAAUUUCCUGUGUAGCGGUGAAAUGCGUAGAUAUAGGAAGGAACACCAGUGGCGAAGGCGACCACCUGGACUAAUACUGACACUGAGGUGCGAAAGCGUGGGGAGCAAACA